rnacentral:misc_RNA from 1 species
AGGGAAAAGGAGAUAUUAUUUGCACAUGGAGAAAUUAGCAAGAUGGAGAGGGAGAGAGGGAAAGGAAAAAGAUUGGGAAAGAGAGAAUUUAUUUUAUUUAUCUAUUAUUUUUUUUUAAUACAGAUAAUUAUGUUUUUUAAUUAAAUUUGUCAGAAAAAAUUAUGAUGAUAAAGCUUUGUUGAUUUAGUUUAGGUUUCAUAUAUGGUUGCAUCCAUGAGCAGAAAAUUAACUUGCCUUUGGGUAAACCAUGCUAAGAAUGAUAUUUAGAAAGCUGUAAUUCCUAUAUAGAUCUUUAUCUCAAGUGAUCAAACUACACCUUUGAAGGAAGAAACUCAAAAGAACAAUCUUAAAUCAAGCCAGUAAAACCCAGAGAACAAUUGAAAAAAAAAAAAUCAAGGGUUAGGAUUUCUCAACGUAGCAUAUUUUAUAGUCAAACUGAAAAUAAAGAAAUUAGUCUCUCCAUAUUCAACUGGUUCUUGAAUAUGUUAAUAAUAUCUGGAACCUCGGAAAUUUUCUUGAGGCUUCUCGGACUUCAUCCUGAGUUUAGGGAUGUAGGAGACCCAUGGGUCUAUACAAAAGCAAGUAUUUACGCUGCUUCCAAUGUUCCGGUGGCCACUUACCUGAUGACUUUCCUUGCAGUAGAGUGCUACUUUACAUCCGAGAUGGCCUAUGGUCCUUCGUUGUAUUCCAGAAAUCUUAAAUCCAAGAGGAACUUGGGAUUUUAAACAAUCUGCCAUUUUUGCAUAGCCAGGAAGGUUUGGUUGAACAUUACCAUCUCAUAGGAAGUUUUGGUCAAGUUGGCAGCUGAUCUAGACUAAUUCAGUAUCAUUCAAGAGGUUGGUUUUAUCUUUUGGGCAAAUUGGAACUCGGGAAAUGUAACACUUUUCCAAUCUAAUGUGACUGAUCCUAGAAAAUUAUCUUAUGAAAAUAUAGAGAAAUACAUUAAUCUGCGGUAUUACUUGCUAUGGUAACCGUGUAAAUUGUGAUGCUG